GAUGAACGCUAGCGACAGGCCUAACACAUGCAAGUCGAGGGGCAGCACAUGAUGCAGCAAUGCGGAUGGUGGCGACCGGCGCACGGGUGAGUAACACGUAUGCAACCUGCCUUCAACCGGAGGAUAACCCGUUGAAAGACGGACUAAUACUCCAUAACACAGGGGUCCCGCAUGGGGAUAUUUGUUAAAGAUUAAUCGGUUGAAGAUGGGCAUGCGUUCCAUUAGCUUGUUGGCGGGGUAACGGCCCACCAAGGCAACGAUGGAUAGGGGAACUGAGAGGUUUAUCCCCCACACUGGAACUGAGACACGGUCCAGACUCCUACGGGAGGCAGCAGUGAGGAAUAUUGGUCAAUGGGGGCAACCCUGAACCAGCCAAGUCGCGUGAAGGAUGAAGGUCUUAUGGAUUGUAAACUUCUUUUAUACAGGAAUAAAUUGGGGGACGUGUCCCCUUUUGCAUGUACUGUAUGAAUAAGGAUCGGCUAACUCCGUGCCAGCAGCCGCGGUAAUACGGAGGAUCCGAGCGUUAUCCGGAUUUAUUGGGUUUAAAGGGUGCGCAGGCGGGAUGUUAAGUCGGCGGUGAAAUUUUGCAGCUCAACUGUAAAAGUGCCUUCGAUACUGGCUUCCUUGAGUGUAGAUGAAGUAGGCGGAAUUUGUGGUGUAGCGGUGAAAUGCUUAGAUAUCACGAGGAACUCCGAUUGCGCAGGCAGCUUACUAAACUACAACUGACGCUCAUGCACGAAGGCGUGGGGAUCAAACAGGAUUAGAUACCCUGGUAGUCCACGCAGUAAACGAUGAUUACUGGUUGUUUGCGAUACAAUGCAAGCGACUGAGCGAAAGCGUUAAGUAAUCCACCUGGGGAGUACGUUCGCAAGAAUGAAACUCAAAGGAAUUGACGGGGGCCCGCACAAGCGGAGGACAUGUGGUUUAAUUCGAUGAUACGCGAGGAACCUUACCCGGCUUGAAAUGCAUCCGACCGGCGCCGAGAAGCGCUUCCCUUCGGGGCG
rnacentral:rRNA from 1 species